rnacentral:tRNA from 1 species
GGGGAUGUAGUUCAGUGGUAAAGCGUUUGCCUAGCAUGCAAAAGGCCCUGGGUUCAAUCCUCAACACUGUUC